UUAGAUGUUGAGAUCAGAUCUGAUGUUAGAAUAUGAAAGUCACCUCUACUUCAACCUCAAUCUCAACCUCAACUAACCACCGAGCAAUCCAAGAGCUCCAUCAUUGUGAUAAUCUCGUUCCCAACUAAAUCUCUCCAUAUCAUCAUUGAAUGUGACAUUUACAUAUGAAUUCUAAUCACCAUUGGAUGGUUUAGAAGGGACAAUGAUCAACAGAGAAGCUAUUUUGAGAUCUUUGUUUGAUCCAAGACACAUUUAUCCUCGAAUUGACUGAUAAUGAAAUGAAACUUGAAAUCUAUAAUGAACAAUAAAAAGAGUUGCUAAUGUAAGUCUGGAAAAAGAUGCGAUGAAAACAUUGCAUGUAAACAUUUCAUAUCAAGUUGAAUUCGAUGAUGAUGUUAAUCAACAGACACUAACGAGCAAAGCAUAAUUGAUCAUGUAGUCAGACUAAUCUAGUGAACAACUAAAAGGAAAUCACUGAAUGAAUUCGCAAAUCAUAUUGCUCGAUGUCUUAUUUUGUACACAUCACAAGAACAAGGAAGAAAAUAAGCUUGGUACAGAGGCAGUCACCAAUUUGUAUCAAUAUCUAGCAAAUGCAAAUACUGCAUAUGUAUGUACCUCUUCUUGCUCAGUCUUCAUAAGCUGAUAUCACAUUACAGAGAGAGAGAGAGAGAGAGAGAGAGAGAGGGAGAGAGAGAGAGAGAGAGAGAGAGAAAAAGAGAGAGAGUGA